GACGAGGGGUCCAAGCGUUGUUCGGAAUCAUUGGGCGUAAAGCGGGUGUAGGCGGCUUUGUAAGUCAGGAGUGAAAUCCCCGAGCUUAACUUGGGAAGUGCUUUUGAUACUGCAGAGCUUGAAUGUGGGAGAGGGUAGUGGAAUUCCAGGUGUAGUGGUGAAAUACGUAGAUAUCUGGAGGAACACCGGUGGCGAAGGCGGCGUUCUGGACUGCAACUGACACUGAGAAACGAAAGCCAGGGUAGCAAACGGG
rnacentral:rRNA from 1 species